GACGAACGCUGGCGGCGUGCUUAACACAUGCAAGUCGAACGGAAAGGCCCUGCUUUUGUGGGGUGCUCUAGUGGCGAACGGGUGAGUAACACGUGAGUAACCUGCCCUUGACUUUGGGAUAACUUCAUGAAACUGGGGCUAAUACCGGAUAGGAUCUCCUGCUGCAUGGUGGGGGUGGGAAAGUUUCGGCGGUUGGGGAUGGACUCGCGGCUUAUCAGCUUGUUGGUUGGGUAGUGGCUUACCAAGGCUUUGACGGGUAGCCGGCCUGAGAGGGUGACCGGCCACAUUGGGACUGAGAUACGGCCCAGACUCCUACGGGAGGCAGCAGUGGGGAAUAUUGCACAAUGGGCGGAAGCAUGAUGCAGCAAAGCCGCGUGCGGGAUGACGGCCUUCGGGUUGUAAACCGCUUUCGCCUGUGACGAAGCGUGAGUGACGGUAAUGGGUAAAGAAGCACCGGCUAACUACGUG
rnacentral:rRNA from 1 species